rnacentral:rRNA from 1 species
UGGGGAAUAUUGCACAAUGGGCGGAAGCCUGAUGCAGCAACGCCGCGUGCGGGAUGACGGCCUUCGGGUUGUAAACCGCUUUCGCCUGUGACGAAGCGUGAGUGACGGUAAUGGGUAAAGAAGCACCGGCUAACUACGUGCCAGCAGCCGCGGUGAUACGUAGGGUGCGAGCGUUGUCCGGAUUUAUUGGGCGUAAAGGGCUCGUAGGUGGUUGAUCGCGUCGGAAGUGUAAUCUUGGGGCUUAACCCUGAGCGUGCUUUCGAUACGGGUUGACUUGAGGAAGGUAGGGGAGAGUGGAAUUCCUGGUGGAGCGGUGGAAUGCGCAGAUAUCAGGAGGAACACCAGUGGCGAAGGCGGUUCUCUGGGCCUUUCCUGACGCUGAGGAGCGAAAGCGUGGGGAGCGAACAGGCUUAGAUACCCUGGUAGUCCACGCUGUAAACGGUGGGUACUAGGUGUGGGGUCCAUUCCACGGGUUCCGUGCCGUAGCUAACGCUUUAAGUACCCCGCCUGGGGAGUACGGCCGCAAGGCUA